UAAGGAAACUAGUCAUUUUGACAAGUUAGUCACUUGUUCCAAUACUGUUUAUUAAUUAAUAUACUUUCUCUAUAUUGUGGGACUUUGGGGAAAUUUCUUAUUUUAUUAAUAUGCCUACUUCUGUUCAUGAUUACACUAUAUAAGAAUUACAUGUAGAUUGUAAAAAUACAUUUUAAGCCAGUCACAGUGAUACACACCUACAAUUUAACUAUUCAGGAGGUGGAGAUGGGAGGAUCACAAGUUUGAGCCCAGCCUGGACAACACAGACUCUGUAUCAAAAAAACAAAACAAAACAAAAACACCUAUUCACUUAAAAAUAAUGGCUAAAGAGUUCGAGGUGUAACUCAGUGUACAGAAUGUGCAUAGCAUAAACAAAUUCUGGGUCCGUUCCCAUUCCCAUAAAUCAACCAGAGGUUUAAUCAAGGCAUUUGAAAUUUAAGAUAGAAUAACUUUGGAUAAACAUUAGUUCUGAGAAUCCUUGAUAACUUUGUAAAUAAAACUCUCACACUGCCAUAGCAUGUAAUUGUAUUUCCCCACCUCCCAAAGAUGGUCAAAAAUACACUUUAAUUUCUGACAGUUUAUUGUCUUCCUUCCUAUGAUUGAAUUAUGUUCAUUCAUUUUUUUCUCCUAUGAUUGAAUUAUGUUCAUUCAUUUUUUUUCUUCUAGAGACAUUCAAAACUACUUUCUUCAGUUUCCAAAAGUAUCCAUUAAUCUUACAGUUCCAACCUUAGAAAUGUAUAUAUUUUUAUAAUAUUGAGACUUCCCAUCCAGGGAUAUGGUAUAUGUCUCCAUUUAUUAAUGUUUUGUGUUUCUCGGUAAAAUUUAAUUCUA
rnacentral:lncRNA from 1 species